rnacentral:rRNA from 1 species
UGAAUACGAGACGCUAAGGCGUCGAAGUGGUGUAUGUCAUACUUCCAAGAAAAGCUUGCACUGUCAUAGAUAAAAAACGCCUGUACCAUAACCGACACAGGUGGGUAGGUAGAGUAUACUAAGGGGCGCGAGAUAACUCUCUCUAAGGAACUCGGCAAAAUAACUCCGUAACUUCGGGAGAAGGAGUGCCUUAUUCGUAAGGUUGCAAUAACAAGAUCCAAGCAACUGUUUAUCAAAAACACAGGUCUCCGCUAAGUCGUAAGACGAUGUAUGGGGGCUGACGCCUGCCCAGUGCCAGAAGGUUAAAGAAGUUGGUUAGCAAUUGCGAAGCUGAUAACUGAAGCCCUGGUGAACGGCGGCCGUAACAAUAACGGUCCUAAGGUAGCGAAAUUCCUUGUCGGGUAAGUUCCGACCCGCACGAAAGGCGUAAUGAUUUGGAUACUGUCUCGGAGAGGGGCUCGGUGAAAUAGACUUGUCUGUGAAGAUGCGGACUACCUGCACCAGGACAGAAAGACCCUAUGAAGCUUUACUGUAACUUGAAAUUGAAAUUGGACUUUAUUCGCGCAGUAUAGGUGGGAGGCGUUGAUUAUAAUCUUGUGGGAUUAUUGGAGCCAUCAGUGAGAUACCACUCUUGUAAUGUUAGAUUUCUAACUUUGAAUCAUUAUCUGGUCAAAGAACAGUUUCAGGCGGGCAGUUUGACUGGGGCGGUCGCCUCCUAAACGGUAACGGAGGCGUACAAAGGUUUCCUCUGAACGGUUAGAAAUCGUAUCUAGAGUGUAAAGGCAUAAGGAAGCUUGACUGUGAGACCUACAAGUCGAGCAGGGACGAAAGUCGGUCUUAGUGAUCUGACGGUACUGAGUGGAAAGGCCGUCACUCAACGGAUAAAAGUUACUCUAAGGAUAACAGGCUGAUCUCCCCCAAGAGUUCACAUCGACGGGGAGGUUGGGCACCUCGAUGUCGGCUCAUCGCAUCCUGGGGCGGUAGUACGUCCCAAGGGUUGGGCUGUUCGCCCAUGAAAGCGGUACGCGAGCUGGGUUCAGAACGUCGUGAGACAGUUCGGUCCAUAUCCGGUGUAGGCGUUAGAAUAUUGAGAGGAGCCUUCUUUAGUACGAGAGGACCGAGAAGGACAUACCUCUGGUGUACCAGUUAUCGUGCCAACGGUAAACGCUGGGUAGCUAUGUAUGGAGUGGAUAACCGCUGAAAGCAUCUAAGUGGGAAGCCCACCUCAAGAUAAGUAUUCUC